rnacentral:rRNA from 1 species
CCUACGGGAGGCAGCAGUGAGGAAUAUUGGUCAAUGGUCGGGAGACUGAACCAGCCAAGCCGCGUGAGGGAGGAAGGUACAGAGUAUCGUAAACCUCUUUUGUCAGGGAACAAAGGCGGGGACGUGUCCCCGGAUGAGUGUACCUGAAGAAAAAGCAUCGGCUAACUCCGUGCCAGCAGCCGCGGUAAUACGGAGGAUGCGAGCGUUAUCCGGAUUUAUUGGGUUGAAAGGGUGCGCAGGCGGUCUGUUAAGUCAGCGGUAAAAGACCGGGGCUCAACCCCGGCCCGCCGUUGAAACUGGCAGUAGCGAGUUGGAGAGAAGUAUGCGGAAUGCGCGGUGUAGCGGUGAAAUGCAUAGAUAUCGCGCAGAACUCCGAUUGCGAAGGCAGCAUGCCGGCUCCACACUGACGCUGAGGCACGAAAGCGUGGGUAUCGAACAGGAUUAGAUACCCUUGUAGUC